rnacentral:rRNA from 1 species
GAUGUCUGGGAAACUGCCCGAUGGAGGGGGAUAACUACUGGAAACGGUAGCUAAUACCGCAUAACGUCGCAAGACCAAGAGGGGACCUUCGGGCCUCUUGCCAUCGGAUGUGCCCAGAUGGGAUUAGCUAGUAGGUGGGGUAACGGCUCACCUAGGCGACGAUCCCUAGCUGGUCUGAGAGGAUGACCAGCCACACUGGAACUGAGACACGGUCCAG